UACGUAGGGUGCGAGCGUUGUCCGGAAUUAUUGGGCGUAAAGAGCUUGUAGGCGGUUUGUCGCGUCUGCUGUGAAAAUCCGGGGCUCAACCCCGGACUUGCAGUGGGUACGGGCAGACUAGAGUGUGGUAGGGGAGACUGGAAUUCCUGGUGUAGCGGUGAAAUGCGCAGAUAUCAGGAGGAACACCGAUGGCGAAGGCAGGUCUCUGGGCAUUAACUGACGCUGAGGAGCGGAAAGCAUGGGGAGCGAACAGG
rnacentral:rRNA from 1 species